rnacentral:rRNA from 1 species
AUAUUGGACAAUGGGGGGAACCCUGAUCCAGCGACGCCGCGUGAGUGAAGAAGUAUUUCGUGAUGUAAAGCUCUAUCAGCAGGGAAGAAAGAAAUGACGGUACCUGACUAAGAAGCCCCGGCUAACUACGUGCCAGCAGCCGCGGUAAUACGUAGGGGGCAAGCGUUAUCCGGAUUUACUGGGUGUAAAGGGAGCGUAGACGGCGAUGCAAGUCUGGAGUGAAAGGCGGGGGCCCAACCCCCGGACUGCUCUGGAAACUAUGUGACUGGAGUGCAGGAGAGGUGAGCGGAAUUCCUAGUGUAGCGGUGAAAUGCGUAGAUAUUAGGAGGAACACCAGUGGCGAAGGCGGCUCACUGGACUGUAACUGACGUUGAGGCUCGAAAGCGUGGGGAGCUAACAGG